UGGGGAAUAUUGCACAAUGGGCGCAAGCCUGAUGCAGCCAUGCCGCGUGUAUGAAGAAGGCCUUCGGGUUGUAAAGUACUUUCAGCGGGGAGGAAGGGAGUAAAGUUAAUACCUUUACUCAUUGACGUUACCCGCAGAAGAAGCACCAGCUAACUCCGUGCCAGCAGCCGCGGUAAUACGGAGGGUGCAAGCGUUAAUCGGAAUUACUGGGCGUAAAGCGCACGCAGGCGGUUUGUUAAGUCAGAUGUGAAAUCCCCGGGCUCAACCUGGGAACUGCAUCUGAUACUGGCAAGCUUGAGUCUCGUAGAGGGGGGUAGAAUUCCAGGUGUAGCGGUGAAAUGCGUAGAGAUCUGGAGGAAUACCGGUGGCGAAGGCGGCCCCCUGGACGAAGACUGACGCUCAGGUGCGAAAGCGUGGGGAGCAAACAGG
rnacentral:rRNA from 1 species